AACGUAGGACACAAGCGUUAUCCGGAGUUACUGGGCGUAAAGGGCGUGUAGGCGGGAUGGUAAGUCUACUCUGAAAGCUCCUGGCUAAACUGGGAGAGGCGAGUGGAGACUGUCGUUCUAGAGUGAGGAAGAGGAAAGUGGAAUUCCGCGUGUAGUGGUGAAAUGCGUAGAGAUGCGGAGGAACACCAGUGGCGAAAGCGACUUUCUGGUCCUUAACUGACGCUGAGGCGCGAAAGCAUGGGGAGCGAACGGGAUUAGAAACCCUAGUAGUCC
rnacentral:rRNA from 1 species